CCUACGGGAGGCAGCAGUGGGGGAUAUUGCACAAUGGGGGAAACCCUGAUGCAGCGACGCCGCGUGUAGGAAGACGGUCCUCUGGAUUGUAAACUACUGUCCCCAGGGACGAAGAUGACGGUACCUGGGGAGGAAGCUCCGGCUAACUACGUGCCAGCAGCCGCGGUAAUACGUAGGGAGCGAGCGUUGUCCGGAGUUACUGGGGGUAAAGGGAGCGUAGGCGGGGAUGCAAGUUGGGUGUUAAAUCUACCGGCUCAACUGGUAGUCGCACUCAAAACUGCAGCUCUUGAGUGAAGUAGAGGGAGGCGGAAUUCCGAGUGUAGCGGUGAAAUGCGUAGAUAUUAGGAGGAACACCAGUGGCGAAGGCGGCCUGCUGGGCUUUUACUGACGCUGAGGCUCGAAAGUGUGGGGAGCAAACAGGAGUAGAUACCCGGGUAGUC
rnacentral:rRNA from 1 species